rnacentral:lncRNA from 7 species
AUGGGUUUUCAUCCCCCAAAAGGCCCCUUCCCAAUCCCCCCCCCCCCCCCCCAUCCCCACAAUGACCAAAUAUGGGAUUUUCCCCCCCAAAAAAAGCCCUUUCCAUCCCCCCCCCCCAUCCCCACAAUAACCAAAUAUGGGAUUUCCCCCCCAAAAAGGCCCUUCCCAUCCCCCCCCCCAUCCCCCAAACCGACCAAAUAUGGGAUUUCCCCCCCCCCCAAAAUCCUUGACCAUCCCCCCCCCCCCCCCAAACUGACUGACACGUGGUGUGUGUUGCGCCCCAAUCCCGGUUUCCCAGGCUCGGGGUCACCCCGUGGGGCAGCACAUCCUGGCGUGCUUUGGGGGCGCGGGGAGGGCAGCACGCGGUGUGCCAUCGCACGGGCCCUGGGCAUGGACAGCGUCUUCAUUCAUAAACACAGCGGGGUGCUGUCGGCCUUCGGGCUGGCGCUGGCGGAUGUGGUGCACGAGGCUCAGGAGUAUCUAUGGGGUUCCUAUGGGUUCCCUAUGGGAUAUCUUUCUAUGGGGUUCCAAUGGGAUAUCCAUCUCUGGGGUCCCAAUGGGAUAUCCAUCUGUGGGGUCCCUAUGGGAUCCCUAUGGGCCAUCUAUCUCUGGCGUCCCUAUGGGACAUCUAUCUAUGGGGUCCCUAUGGGGUCCCUAUGGGGUUCCUAUGGGACAUCUAUUUCUGGGGUCCCUGUGGGACAUCUACCUAUGGGGUCCCUAUGGGGUCCCUAUGGGAUAUCCAUCUGUGGGGUCCCUAUGGGGUCCCUAUGGGCCAUCUAUCUCUGGGGUCCCUAUGGGAUNNNNNNNNNNNNNNNNNNNNNNNNNNNNNNNNNNNNNNNNNNNNNNNNNNNNNNNNNNNNNNNNNNNNNNNNNNNNNNNNNNNNNNNNNNNNNNNNNNNNGGGCUCUCUAUGGGCUCUCUAUGGGAUCCCUAUGUGUCCCUAUGGGGUCCCUAUGUGUCCCUAUGUAUCCCUAUGGGCUCUCUAUGGGACCCCUAUGAGGUCCCUAUGUCUCCCUAUGGGCUCCCUAUGGGGCAGCUAUAGGCUCUCUAUGGGGUCCCUAUGGGCUCUCUAUGGGCUCUCUAUGGGCUCUCUAUGGGGCAGCUGUAGGCUCCCUAUGGGGUCCCUAUGUGUCCCUACGGGGUCUCUAUGGGCUCUCUAUGGGCUCUCUAUGGGGCAGCUAUAGGCUCCCUAUGGGGUCCCUAUGGGCUCCCUGUGGGGUCCCUCUGGGGUCCCUAUGGGGCCGCUGUGGGGUCGCUCUGAGUCACUCACGUGGAGGAGGCACAGCGCCAUCUCCGUCUCGGCCAGUUUGGGAUUGGGAUGGUGUCCCUAUGGGGUCCCUAUGUGUCCCUAUGGGGUCCCUAUGUGUCUCUAUGGGCCCCCUAUGGGGUCCCUAUGUGUCCCUAUGGGGUCCCUAUGUCUCCCUAUGGGCUCUCUAUGGGCUCCCUCUGGGCUCUCUAUGGGGUCCCUAUGGGGUUCGCUAUGGGGUUUCCUAUGGUGGUCCCUAUGUAGCUCCCUCUAUGGGCUUCUCUAUGGGCUCUCCUAUGGGCUCUCUAUGUGGUCCUAUGGGCUCUAUGGGUCCCCUAUGGUCUCUAAUGGGGUCCCUAUGUGUCUCUAUGGCUCCCUAUGGGCCUCUCUAUGGCCCCUUGUGCCUCUCCUAUGGGGUCUCUAUGGGCCCUAUGGGGUCCUAUGGGCUCUCUAUGGACUUCCCUAUGGACUCCCUAUGGGCUCUCUAUGGGACCCCUAUGAGCUUUCUAUGGGCGCUCUAUGGGGUCCCUCUGGGGUUCCCUAUGUGUCUCUAUGGGCUCCCUAUGUCUCCCUAUGUGUCGCUAUGGGGUCCCUAUGUGUCCCUAUGGGGUCCCUAUGUGUCCUAUGGGGGUCCCUAUGGGCUCUCUAUGGACUCCCUAUGUGUCCCUAUGGGUCCCUAUGGUGUCCCUAUGGCUCCCUAUGGGCUCCCUAUGGGCCUCUAUGGCUCCCUAUGGGGUCCCUAGGGGCUCUCUAUGGGGACCCUACGGGCUCUCUAUGGGGUCUCUAUGGGGUCCCUCUGGGGUCCCUACGGGCUCUCUAUGGGCUCUCUAAGGGGCAGCUAUGGGGUUCCUAUGGGGCCGCUGUGGGGUCGCUCUGAGUCACUCACGUGGAGGAGGCACCAGCGCCAUCUCGGUCUCGGCCAGUUUGGGAUUGGGAUCGUGUCCCUAUGGGGUCCCUAUGUGUCCCUAUGUGUCUCUAUGGGCCCCCUAUGGGGUCCCUAUGUGUCCCUAUGGGGUCCCUAUGUCUCCCUAUGGGCUCUCUAUGGGCUCCAUCUGGGCUCUCUAUGGGGUCCCUAUGGGCUCUCUAUGGGGUUCCUAUGGGGUCUCUAUGGGCUCCCUCUGGGCUCUCUAUGGGGUCCCUAUGGGCUCUCUAUGGGCUCUCUAUGGGGUCCCUCUGGGCUCUCUAUGGGGUCCCUAUGGGGCCGCUGUGGGGUCGCUCUGAGUCACUCACGUGGAGGAGGCACAGCGCCAUCUCCGUC